UACAGAGGUGGCAAGCGUUGUUCGGAAUUACUGGGCGUAAAGGGCGCGUAGGCGGCCAUCUAAGUCAGACGUGAAAUCCCCCGGCUUAACCUGGGAACUGCGUCUGAUACUGGAAGGCUUGAGUAUGGGAGAGGGAUGUAGAAUUCCAGGUGUAGCGGUGAAAUGCGUAGAUAUCUGGAGGAAUACCGGUGGCGAAGGCGGCAUCCUGGACCAUUACUGACGCUGAGGAGCGAAAGCGUGGGGAGCAAACAGG
rnacentral:rRNA from 1 species